UUGGUGAAGGUAUAGGCUUACCAAGGCGACGAUCAGUAGCUGGUCUGAGAGGACGACCAGCCACACUGGGACUGAGACACGGCCCAGACUCCUACGGGAGGCAGCAGUGGGGAAUUUUGGACAAUGGGGGAAACCCUGAUCCAGCCAUGCCGCGUGAGUGAAGAAGGCCUUCGGGUUGUAAAGCUCUUUCAGCCGGAACGAAACGGUCACGGCUAAUACCUGUGACUACUGACGGUACCGGAAGAAGAAGCACCGGCUAACUACGUGCCAGCAGCCGCGGUAAUACGUAGGGUGCAAGCGUUAAUCGGAAUUACUGGGCGUAAAGCGUGCGCAGGCGGUUUUGUAAGUCAGAUGUGAAAUCCCCGGGCUUAACCUGGGAACUGCGUUUGAA
rnacentral:rRNA from 1 species